UACGUAGGGUCCGAGCGUUGUCCGGAGUUACUGGGCGUAAAGCGCGCGCAGGCGGCGGUGUUGGCCCGGCGUGAAAGCCCCCGGCUCAACCGGGGAGAGUCGUCGGGGACCGCACCGCUUGAGGGCGGUAGGGGCUGGUGGAAUGCCUGGUGUAGUGGUGAAAUGCGUAGAUAUCUGGAGGAAUACCGGUGGCGAAGGCGGCAUCCUGGACCAUUACUGACGCUGAGGCGCGAAAGCUAGGGGAGCAAACGGG
rnacentral:rRNA from 1 species